rnacentral:rRNA from 1 species
AGAGUUUGAUCCUGGCUCAGGAUGAACGCUAGCUACAGGCUUAACACAUGCAAGUCGAGGGGAAACGACAUCGGAAGCUUGCUUUUGAUGGGGCGUCGACCGGCGCACGGGUGAGUAACGCGUAUCCAACCUGCCCAUCACUUGGGGAUAACCUUGCGAAAGUAAGACUAAUACCCAAUGAUAUCUCUAGAAGACAUCUGAAAGAGAUUAAAGAUUUAUCGGUGAUGGAUGGGGAUGCGUCUGAUUAGCUUGUUGGCGGGGUAACGGCCACCAAGGCUACGAUCAGUAGGGGGUUCUGAGAGGAAGGUCCCCCACAUUGGAACUGAGACACGGUCCAAACUCCUACGGGAGGCA